rnacentral:rRNA from 1 species
UAUUAAAGUUGUUGCAGUUAAAAAGCUCGUAGUCGGAUUUUGGCAUCACGCCGAACUGUCAGCCGAUUGGUUUGUACGGUUUGGCGGGUGCUCUCCUUCCGGAAGCUCGUUCCCUUCUUAGUUGACGGGUUCGAUGGUUCCGGGUCUUUUACUUUGAAAAAAUUAGAGUGCUCAAAGCAGGCCUAUGCUCUGAAUAGGUUAGCAUGGAAUAAUAGAAUAGGACUUUGGUUCUAUUUUGUUGGUUUCUAGGACCGAAGUAAUGAUUAAUAGGGACAGUUGGGGGCAUUCAUAUUCCAAUGUCAGAGGUGAAAUUCUUGGAUUAUCGGAAGAUGAACUUCUGCGAAAGCAUCUGCCAAGGAUGUUUUCAUUGAUCAAGAACGAAAGUUAGGGGAUCGAAGACGAUCAGAUACCGUCGUAGUCUUAACCAUAAACUAUGCCGACUAGGGAUGUGAAGGCGUUAUUUUAUACGACCCUUCAUGCACCUUAUGAGAAAUCAAAGUCUAUGGGUUCCGGGGGGAGUAUGGUCGCAAGGCUGAAACUUAAAGGA